CCUACGGGUGGCAGCAGUCGAGAAUCAUUCACAAUGGGGGAAACCCUGAUGGUGCGACGCCGCGUGGGGGAAUGAAGGUCUUCGGAUUGUAAACCCCUGUCAUGUGGGAGCAAAUUAAAAAGAUAGUACCACAAGAGGAAGAGACGGCUAACUCUGUGCCAGCAGCCGCGGUAAUACAGAGGUCUCAAGCGUUGUUCGGAAUCACUGGGCGUAAGGCGUGCGUAGGCUGUUUCGUAAGUCGUGUGUGAAAGGCGCGGGCUCAACCCGCGGACGGCACAUGAUACUGCGAGACUAGAGUAAUGGAGGGGGAACCGGAAUUCUCGGUGUAGCAGUGAAAUGCGUAGAUAUCGAGAGGAACACUCGUGGCGAAGGCGGGUGCCUGGACAUUAACUGACGCUGAGGCACGAAGGCCAGGGGAGCGAAAGGGAUUAGAUACCCUGGUAGUC
rnacentral:rRNA from 1 species